AUGCGCAGCGUUUGAGCAAUAGGAUGUCUCCCAAGGGUAACCUGUUUGUUCGCUGCGACAAGAGUUAUACGCCCUUUCUCUUCAGUAGCGCAAUACACGUAUAUAUAUAAUCUGUGUCCUAAGAGUAAGAUAUUAUGAGGAGUGGUGUGUAGCUACUUCGUGUUGGGGCCAUUCAGAGAUUGGAGGCUCGAAAACUUGACCGAAAAGUCAGUGGUACAACUUACAAGCAAGGCUUCCAACUCAACUGUGUUUUGUUUUGUCCGUCCAAGGAUGCGUCUCCCAGGUGGACCAGUGACUUUAAACAGGCCUUAAUGUGCGUCUCUGUCAAUCAGUGUUUUAUGGCUGCUUUGCAAUGGGCUGGUGUUCCAGAUUAUUUUCUUAAUUUUGCUUCUGCAUUUUUUUUUUUU
rnacentral:lncRNA from 1 species